GCUUAGCCGUAAACAUAGGUAGAACCAACACAAUACUACCCGCCAGAGAACUACAAGUGAAAAGCUAGAAACUCUAAGGACUUGGCGGUGCCUUAAACCAACCUAGAGGAGCCUGUCCUAUAAUCGAUACUCCACGCUAAACCUUACCACUUCUUGCCAAUCAGCCUAUAUACCGCCGUCGUCCAGCCUACCUCGUGAGAGCUCAACAGUAAGCAAAACAGUUAACAACUAACACGUCAGGUCAAGGUGUAGCACAUGAAGUGGAAGCGAUGGGCUACAUUUUCUGCCACAGAAAACACGAACGCCACAAUGAAACUUGUGCCCGAAGGUGGAUUUAGCAGUAAGAUAUAUAAGAAACAAUACCUUAAACCCUGCUCUGAGGCGCGC
rnacentral:rRNA from 1 species